rnacentral:piRNA from 1 species
CUUAUUUAAGGGGAACGUAUGGA